rnacentral:lncRNA from 1 species
CCCCGCUGGGCUGCAUUGGAGCCGGGGCCCGCGGAGCCGCGACCUGACAGUACCAGAGUUGAAGGAGCCGGGACGCGCAAAGGCGCGUGGAACCCGGGAGGGGACCGGUGCCUGCGAACGGCCCGAGCAAGGUGGACUGAACUCUAAGAUUAAUCCUUCCGGAGAAGAUUAUAUUCUUGCUCUUAAGCCUGGUUUACAUAGUUCCCACUAAUCUUCAGAGAAGUCACCUCAGAGAGCAAACUUUGCACCAGUCGCUCUUUUCCGUCCUCCUUUCAAGAUUUGUGACACUUACAUCGUCAAGCUUAUUUCGGUUGAUCUGUACAAUAUUUUGUCCCCCAGAAGAACCCUUGAGUAUUUUCCACGAUGGAUCACGCCUGACUGAUAGGAAGUGUUCAAUAAAUGUGACUCCAAAGAGCUCAUGUGUUAGGCAAUGGAGAAAUGUUCAGAGGCGAAAGGAUUGGAUUAUGAGAACUGUAAAUAAAAGUGAAUAUAGUGCAGCAAGGAAUAAUUGUGUCCAGUGAUUUCGGCUCUAGGAUGACUUCUUUAGUUUAAAAUGCUCCAUUCUCUCCCACUUCAAUUCCCAAGCCCUUCUUUCUCCAUACAGAUCCAGAAGCUACUAAGAAAUGUGACAUUUGUCCAAAGGGCCAUCUAAUCCCAAGUUUC